rnacentral:rRNA from 1 species
CAGUAGCCGCGGGAAUACGUAUGGGGCGAGCGUUGUCCGGAAUUAUUGGGCGUAAAGGGUACGUAGGCGGUUUUUUAAGUCAGAUGUGAAAGCGUGAGGCUUAACCUCAUUAAGCACUUGAAACUGGAAGACUUGAGUGAAGGAGAGGAAAGUGGAAUUCCUAGUGUAGCGGUGAAAUGCGUAGAUAUUAGGAGGAAUACCGGUGGCGAAGGCGACUUUCUGGACUUUUACUGACGCUCAGGUACGAAAGCGUGGGGAGCAAACAGGAUUAGAUACCCCUGUAGUCCCUGUCUCUUAUACA